AAGAAAGGCUUAGUAGAAUCUUGAAAAACAGGUAGAUCUUUGAUAUAUAGAGACCACAGAAGGAAGAGUUUCUAGGCUUGUGUACAGUUUAUAGGCUUGCAACAGCAGACAGGACAAAAUGUCAAUUAUAUGUUGUGGCUGGCAAAGCUGUUUCUCAGCUACACAGAGGAAUGGUUUAUGGGAGAUUUAAAAGAUUCAGACUUUUAAAGAAUCAAACCUGAAACAGACAGCAUCUUAAACUCAAUUUCUCAACUUAUAGAUAAACAGCACCAGAACACAAAACAUAGGAAACUGGAGUAGCAAUACCAUUCUGGCAAAAGACAAAAUAAAUCUGUGUGUAUAUGUG